rnacentral:rRNA from 1 species
UAGGGCGGGACACGUGGUAUCCUGUCUGAAUAUGGGGGGACCAUCCUCCAAGGCUAAAUACUCCUGACUGACCGAUAGUGAACCAGUACCGUGAGGGAAAGGCGAAAAGAACCCCGGCGAGGGGAGUGAAAAAGAACCUGAAACCGUGUACGUACAAGCAGUGGGAGCACCUUCGGGUGUGACUGCGUACCUUUUGUAUAAUGGGUCAGCGACUUAUAUUCUGUAGCAAGGUUAACCGUAUAGGGGAGCCGCAGGGAAACCGAGUCUUAACUGGGCGUUAAGUUGCAGGGUAUAGACCCGAAACCCGGUGAUCUAGCCAUGGGCAGGUUGAAGGUUGGGUAACACUAACUGGAGGACCGAACCGACUAAUGUUGAAAAAUUAGCGGAUGACUUGUGGCUGGGGGUGAAAGGCCAAUCAAACCGGGAGAUAGCUGGUUCUCCCCGAAAGCU